UAUGAACGCUGGCGGCGUGCCUAAUACAUGCAAGUCGAGCGAACAGACGAGGAGCUUGCUCCUCUGACGUUAGCGGCGGACGGGUGAGUAACACGUGGAUAACCUACCUAUAAGACUGGGAUAACUUCGGGAAACCGGAGCUAAUACCGGAUAAUAUAUUGAACCGCAUGGUUCAAUAGUGAAAGACGGUUUUGCUGUCACUUAUAGAUGGAUCCGCGCCGCAUUAGCUAGUUGGUAAGGUAACGGCUUACCAAGGCAACGAUGCGUAGCCGACCUGAGAGGGUGAUCGGCCACACUGGAACUGUGACACGGUCCAGACUCCUACGGGAGGCAGCAGUAGGGAAUCUUCCGCAAUGGGCGAAAGCCUGACGGAGCAACGCCGCGUGAGUGAUGAAGGUCUUCGGAUCGUAAAACUCUGUUAUUAGGGAAGAACAAAUGUGUAAGUAACUAUGCACGUCUUGACGGUACCUAAUCAGAAAGCCACGGCUAACUACGUG
rnacentral:rRNA from 1 species